rnacentral:lncRNA from 1 species
CUCAUCAACUGAGAGCCUGCGACAACUUUCUCAACAGCUCAAUGGUCUUGUGUCUGAGGUACCCAAGAAAUUAGGGUCCAUAAGGGAGCAGAGGUGGGGAGGAGAAGUUCAGAUAAGGGACUGGAUAUAUAUGUUUAAUGCCAUCAUUUAUUCAGGUGCAAAAAACACAGAUGAGAGCUGCUUGGAAGGGGGAAGCCUGAUGGGGGCGUAGGAACCCUGAGAAGUUGGCACAAAGGGGUUAUGGGAAUAGGGGUCCAACAUGGCCAGGGAAGAUUUUGCUAGUUGAAAGGGAAGAAAGGAAGUCAGGGCUUAGACAUUGAGAGGAAAUGAGCAUCUCCAUGUGACCUCUCAUCUCUUCUAGUCUACGUCAUACAUCAAUGGAGAAGGCCUCUCAUCAUCUGCUAACAUGAAGGAUCUGGAGGUGAGUGACCCUGGCCCCUGGCCCAGUGGACCCUGCAGGCCAGCUCCUAUCUUCUCCCACAGUGGGGCCUGGGUGCCCUGCUGCCAGCUGAGACAGUCCAUACACCCCCCAACCCUAAUGAUGCUCUCUCUACCUCUUCCCCCAACCCUCCUCCAACUCCUCCUCUCUGCAUGCGCCUCAGAGCCGGUACCAAGAGCUAGCAGUAGCCCUGGACUCCAGCUAUCUAACAAACAAACAACUCAGUAGCAAGAUAGAGGAAUUGGUAAGAGUCCAGUGGGAUCCCCUGGUUUCAUGCUGCCAAUCCUGGGCUCCAGUUUCCCUUGGGGCUCUGCAGUAAGGGGCUGGGGGCCCCUGGUGCCAAGGGGAAUGGGGUGCUGGGGGGCCUAGGUCUCAGCUGGAGAGACCUCAGAGCAUAGAGCAUUCCGCAUGGCUCUUUCUUUUGCUUCCCUCUCUGUGUCCUCUCUCUCCUCAAGACCAUUCCUUGAGUCCUUGCCCCACUUGCCCUGAGGUUGUCGCUCCAGGAGGAGCCUAAGCCUAAAUGGCUGUCAGGAGCCCCGCAUCCUGCCCUGGUUCAGUCCUUAAUUUGCUCUCUUUGAUUUUGGACUAACCACUUCUCCCUGAGCUUGAGUUUCCCACAGAGGUAGAAUUAAAGGAAAUCAAAGGUCCCUUUCAGCUCUGAGCAUCAUAGACUUAAAGGCUCAUUGGAAUAUAAGCACCAAGGAGAAGAGGGAUCUUUGUCCAUCCUUCUUCUUCCUAUAGCCCUACUGUUCAGAAUUUUACCUGGCCCAUAGGAUGUGCUCAGUUGCCGAGGGAACGCACCCUCCUGAGUCACAAGCUGCAGGGGGUAGUCUUUGUUUCUCCAACUCCAUUUCUGGAGAUUUAUGGUAUUGUCCUUUAAAGAGAACUCAGAUUCAGCCCCUCCCAUGCAUAGCUGUGAGCGAACACCAGUCAACACCCAAAUUCUCUUUCUUUGGGAGCUUGAAUUAGUUGAUGUCCCCAUGGGAUCUGACAACUUCUUUUAGACCCAUCCCUGGCACUUGCCUGCCCCAUCCUGAUCUGGAGAGUGGCAUAAAAGGGAUCAACCCCAAUUACCUUCCUUUGACUUUUUCCCCACAGAAACAGCAGAACCAAGACACUCUGGAUCAACUGGAAAAAGUAAUGUGAUUUCUGUGUUUGCUUCUUGCAUGGCUCCUGGGAUUGGGGUAGGACUCAGGUAGAGGCCGCAGUCUUGUCCUGCCCACUCCUAGCCUGGAUAAGGCUCACUGCCCAUCCCUCCAUGGCCCACCCUGUCCCACUCAGGGUACCUCAUACUCAGGUCUCAUUUGUGGGCCUGCCUGGGCCACUGAGGUUCUCUGGGGCAUGGUCUUUGCUGUUCCAUCUCUGCCUCCCCCAGUAAGAGCUGCUUCUUCCUCUGCCUCUAGGAGAAAAAGGCGUGUCAAGAGAAGUUGGCAAAGGAGCAGGGAGCUCUAAGGGAACAGUUGCAGGUGAGUGGACAGUGCCAUGUGUCCCUUAUGUUUCCUGGAAAACACCUCUUUCCUCCUCCUCAGCACUUGUUUUGGUUAUUCUCUGAAAGGUUCACAUCCAGACCAUAGGAAUUCUGGUGUCUGAGAAAGCAGAAUUACAGACAGCCCUGGCUCAUACUCAGCACGCAGCCAGGCAGAAAGCAGGUGGGAGUCCG